GUCCUUGCUUCGGCAGCACAUAUACUAAAAUUGGAACAACACAGAGAAGAUUAGCAUGGCCCCUUAAGCAAGGGUGACACAGAAAUUUGUGGAGCGUUUCAUAAUUUU
rnacentral:snRNA from 1 species